AUAAUUUCAAUAGCGCAUUAAUGAGACACAUUACGUCCAAAUAGAGCAGCUAAAAGACAACAAACUGAAGCUUGAUACAAGUGAGAGUUAGCCUAGCUCGUUAGCUUAGCUCGUUAGCUUAGCAUUAGCAUGGAGAUAACCUCCUCUCUUGACUGACUGACUGCAAGAGUCUGUCUGGAAAACAAACAAGCAUCGAGUCCUCUGGAGCCUUCAGAGACACAUCAGACGGCUGUGAAAGAGAGGAGGGAAAGACGAAGGCGGAAACUGAUCCCAGGAGACACCCACAGAUCUCUUGAAUCUUUGCCGAUAUACAGAAUGAGGAAAGAAAACAGAUACAGUCCAAUCAAACCAAAGUUGUCUUUUGUUUCUUCAUCAGUUAAGAACUUAAAACUGUUUCAAGAAAGUGAAUACACGCACGGGUGUAACUGAAAACAGCCAUGACUCUUGCAUGAGUGUGAUCAGUGGAGUGCACGGCUAAAACAGCUAUCGUGAACAAGACUGGAAAUAUAUAUGACUUUGAUUAAGGAUUAAAUGAUGCUGUGUGUUUGGACUAACCCUGCUGUGACCUUCUGUACCACAGCUGAAAAGAAGCAUUCAAAACACAGUCCAGCUUCCUCACUUUCAACAAUUUAAUACAAAAACCAAACAUUUCUUUCUCUCGUUUAGCAUUUCAUAUACAGCAUAUUUAUAUAUUUGUGUUUCUAUGAGUGAUAAAAGCUCACAUCAUUGGAAAAGAAAACCUGGAUACAGAGCAAACAAUAACAACACCAACAUACCAUCCGCUUGAAGAUGAAAACGGGACAAU